CCGCAUUCGCAACGUCCUCCACUUCUAGCUUGGUUCCUGCAAGCUCUGAGUUGCAAACAUAUGCCUCUUGAAUCUGUUCCGAGGUAAGUGUCGGUUGUAAUUUUUGGAGCAGUUCUGCCAGAAGCGGAGUAAUGAUCCCCACUGGUGAUAUGCAGUUCGCCCGGAUUCCGUGGCGUCCAAGUUCGCUGGCUGCGGUCUUGGUGAUACCAAUAAUCGCGUGCUUGCUGAUGGUAUAGCUGUGGUAAGUUCUCUGUGCUACCACUGCUGAUAUGCUACACAUGUUUAGAAUGCAGCGCAUGGAGUCCGUGCUGGAGAUCAUGGCUUUCGCAGCGUGCUUGACACCGAAAAGUGUUCCUUUGACGUUGACACUGCAAACGUGAUCGAAACUCGAGGCAUCGAUAUCAGUGAUCCGGAGGAACGCUUGCUCAGGUUUGCCUGCGUCUACUACUCCAGCAUUGUUAAACAUUAUAUCCAAUGUUUUCCCGUAGGUGGAAGUGGCAAACUCGACGCAAGCCGAUACUUGGUCCUCGCAGCUAACAUCACAGUGGAAGUAUCGGCUGUUUGGACCA
rnacentral:lncRNA from 1 species